GACGAUGAAGAUAUGAGUUGGUUCGCUCGUCGUGCGUAAAGAGCAUAUCAAUUGCCUUGCCGACAUUCCACUGUUUCUGAGUCCUCCUCCUCCCCCCAUUCUCUUUCCUUCUAUAUUUUCUUCUAUUCUUCCUUUUCUUAUGCACAUGAGUUGUUAUAUUAUUGUUGUUGACAUUUUCUUUCAUUUCACUAGUUGAGUUGCUAUGCCGUAAUUAUUGUUGAAAAAUUAUUUGAGUCUUGCAUGGGCGGAUUGAGAAUGAAUUUUUCUUUUUGUUUCUAUAUUUUUUAACCCAGUCCUCAACAAAUGGAAUACUCUUCAAUUUAGCUCCACUUAAAAUUUUCAAAACCUUCCUAUUCUGUUGAUGCACCCUUCCCUGUCUUUGAAUAUUAGUCUAUUCCCACGCUGUCCACUUCACAACCUGAAAGGGCAGUGAUGCCUGCUGUUGGGACUUGAGAUACGCUGGGAUCUGGUGCUCAUGUUUCAGAAUAAUCUUUCUUACCCUGGAAUUACUUCAUUCUUAAUACGCGCAAAUUCAAAUUUCUUUUUUUUCUUCUCGUUCUGAGAUAAAUUCAUACUUCCACCAACUGUACAUAUACUUUUAACUGCGUAAGAUUCUAAUGUCUGCAUACACCGAGAACCUAAUAAAAAAGUUCAAUCCCUUUAAAUGAUCCCUAACCCAUCUCAAGUCUCCCCCUUAUUGUUUCAUUCAUCAUGCAUGAUUCAUAGUGAUAAUUUUUCCCUCUUCUAACUUUUAAAUGCAGUUAGCGAUGGUGAAACAGUCCCAAAGAAGACAGAGAUUCACUGAACAACGGAUUCAUCGAGUUUGGUGAACCUCGGAUUGCUCUUGAGCAGUCAGCUUGAAUAUUUCAUUUGCUACCCAUGCAUUCGUAUCGUUGCUGGUAGUAUUAUACUCUUUCUGCUACAGAUAACAAAAGGCUAGCAGUAGUGGAAAACAAUUAAUUUGCAUCUCCCAUGUGGGAAGUGAAGUUGUGAAGAACUGCAAUCACCAUUGACUACUCGCCAUCCUAAAAGACUUAGAACUAGGAGGAUUGAAUCACAAUUCUAGUAGAAGAAAGUAUAUCAUUGCCUAAGAUGUAGUGAAACUGGUCAUGCUAGAAAGACUUGUCCUUGAACCCUGUGUGACUUUAUUGUCGAAAAUAGUCUUUUCUGGUUUAAUAUAGAGCCGCUUUUGCACAUGAAUGAAUCUCGAUAUGUAUUUUUGGAUUGAUUGAAGAAGUAGCUAUGAGAACCCAUUUAAUAUUUUUGGUGGUGAAUUGGAAUCUAUUUUGCAUAGUGAUGUGCUAGUUGAAAAAUGUCAUGAUGGUACUGGACAAUAAGCCAUCCUCAACACUGCACUGAAAUUGGCUGACAGUAAUGUAAAUGUAUGAAAAUCUUUAUCCACUUAUGAAUAGAUGUAUUUCUAUUAUUAA